ACAGGUGCUGCAUGGCUGUCGUCAGCUCGUGUCGUGAGAUGUUGGGUUAAGUCCCGCAACGAGCGCAACCCUCGCCCUUAGUUGCCAGCAUUCAGUUGGGCACUCUAAGGGGACUGCCGGUGAUAAGCCGAGAGGAAGGUGGGGAUGACGUCAAGUCCUCAUGGCCCUUACGGGCUGGGCUACACACGUGCUACAAUGGUGGUGACAGUGAGCAGCUAGACCGCGAGGUCGUGCUAAUCUCCAAAAGCCAUCUCAGUUCGGAUUGCACUCUGCAACUCGGGUGCAUGAAGUUGGAAUCGCUAGUAAUCGUGGAUCAGCAUGCCACGGUGAAUACGUUCCCGGGCCUUGUACACACCGCCCGUCACACCAUGGGAGUUGGUUUUACCCGAAGGCUGUGCGCCAACCGCAAGGAGGCAGCAGACCACGGUAGGGUCAGCGACUGGGGUGAAGUCGUAACAAGGUAACCGUA
rnacentral:rRNA from 1 species